AUCCAGCUUUGAAAAAAUUGUGGCCCCACAUAGUUCAUCUAGAAGUUCCUCCACCAUAGGUAUUGGGUAUUUGUCCUUAAAUAUCACAUUGUUGAGGGCUCGGUAGUCAACACAAAGCCUCUAAGACCCAUCGGUCUUUCUUACCAACAAAACAGGAGAGGAAUAAGGGCUUUGGCUAGGUUGAUAACCCCUGUAGUCAGUAACUCUUUCACAAUUUUUUCAAUUUCAUCAUUCUGAAAAAAAGGAUAACGAUAGGGUCUAACUAAGACAGGUUUAGUUCCAGGUUGUAAUAAAAUGGAGUGGUCGUGGGAUCUAUGGGGUGGGAGAGAUUUGGGUUCAGAAAAGACAUCCUGAAAUUGAUGUAAUAGUUGUUGGAUUUGUGCAGAUGACAGCAGGUCAGUGGCUGUUGUGGUACCUUCCAAAAGAUGUAACACCACCCCUUUGUGCUCCAAACUAUUGCUGGUAGCUCCAUUGUCAACGCAACAAGCUGCUGGUGGACGGCCUUCACAUCAGCUUCCAAGGACUUGUAUUGUGUUUCUGUAUUUUUGAAUUGGGUUUCGAUUGAUUUCUUAAGGGAAUUUAAUCCCUCUUGCAGCUGUGUAAUGUGAGUACCCUCAACCAUUAGAGUAAUAGUUGAGGAAAUGUAAAUGUAAUGGAGA